GCUUGUCUCAAAGAUUAAGCCAUGCAUGUCUAAGUAUAACUCUUUUACUUUGAAAACUGCGAACGGCUCAUUAUAUCAGUUAUAGUCUACUCGAUAGUACCUUACUACUUGGAUAACCGUAGUAAUUCUAGAGCUAAUACAUGCGUAAAUACCCAACUGCUUGUCGGACGGGUAGCAUUUAUUAGAUUGAAACCAAUGCAGCUUCGGCUGGUAUUGUGUUGAGUCAUAAUAACUGUGCGGAUCGCUUUUUAAGCGAUAAAUCGAUUGAGUUUCUGCCCUAUCAGCUUUGGAUGGUAGGAUAUGGGCCUACCAUGGCGUUAACGGGUAACGGGGAAUUAGGGUUUGAUUCCGGAGAGGGAGCCUUAGAAACGGCUACCACAUCCAAGGAAGGCAGCAGG
rnacentral:rRNA from 1 species